UCAGAAAAUUAGUAUGACUAAAUCUAAAACUCCCAAAGUUUUUAUUUUUAUUAAAACUAUUUUCUG
rnacentral:tRNA from 1 species